GGUGGUUGAUCGCGUCGGAAGUGUAAUCUUGGGGCUUAACCCUGAGCGUGCUUUCGAUACGGGUUGACUUGAGGAAGGUAGGGGAGAAUGGAAUUCCUGGUGGAGCGGUGGAAUGCGCAGAUAUCAGGAGGAACACCAGUGGCGAAGGCGGUUCUCUGGGCCUUUCCUGACGCUGAGGAGCGAAAGCGUGGGGAGCGAACAGGCUUAGAUACCCUGGUAGUCCACGCUGUAAACGGUGGGUACUAGGUGUGGGGUCCAUUCCACGGGUUCCGCGCCGUAGCUAACGCUUUAAGUACCCCGCCUGGGGAGUACGGCCGCAAGGCUAAAACUCAAAGGAAUUGACGGGGCCCCGCACAAGCGGCGGAGCAUGCGGAUUAAUUCGAUGCAACGCGUAGAACCUUACCUGGGUUUGACAUGGAUCGGGAGUGCUCAGAGAUGGGUGUGCCUCUUUUGGGGUCGGUUCACAGGUGGUGCAUGGCUGUCGUCAGCUCGUGUCGUGAGAUGUUGGGUUAAGUCCCGCAACGAGCGCAACCCUUGUUCACUGUUGCCAGCACGUUAUGGUGGGGACUCAGUGGAGACCGCCGGGGUCAACUCGGAGGAAGGUGGGGAUGACGUCAAGUCAUCAUGCCCCUUAUGUCCAGGGCUUCACGCAUGCUACAAUGGCUGGUACAGAGAGUGGCGAGCCUGUGAGGGUGAGCGAAUCUCGGAAAGCCGGUCUCAGUUCGGAUUGGGGUCUGCAACUCGACCUCAUGAAGUUGGAGUCGCUAGUAAUCGCAGAUCAGCAACGCUGCGGUG
rnacentral:rRNA from 1 species